AUCAAUUGACCAGAAAAGUUCAACCAAGAAAAUUGCAUUCAUUAUAAUCCACAUUUUUAGCAUAUAUUAGUCCACAAUGCAGACAACCUCUUCAUAUUUGUUAUCUCAUAAUAUAUCCUUCAUAUGUCAUGCAUACUCAUAUUUGAUGCAGCAUAUACGGGUACAGCAGACUAAAAAUCCAUUGUCCAUGGCCCUGCAUCAAUACUCUACCACUUAAAAGAUCCAUCAAGUAUGAUAUCUACAUGUGUACUAGUACCAGAUACACUACCAUCACAUUAUCAUUUGAGUUUACUAAUGGCAUAGAUAAGAAAAUUAUAAAAAUAAAAUAAAAUGAAAACAAUAUAUAAAAGUACUUGGAGUUUAGAGGACAUGGACCACCCUCAAA
rnacentral:misc_RNA from 1 species